AUUGAACGCUGGCGGCAGGCUUAACACAUGCAAGUCGAGCGGGGGAAGGUAGCUUGCUACCGGACCUAGCGGCGGACGGGUGAGUAAUGCUUAGGAAUCUGCCUAUUAGUGGGGGACAACAUCUCGAAAGGGAUGCUAAUACCGCAUACGUCCUACGGGAGAAAGCAGGGGAUCUUCGGACCUUGCGCUAAUAGAUGAGCCUAAGUCGGAUUAGCUAGGUGGUGGGGUAAAGGCCUACCAAGGCGACGAUCUGUAGCGGGUCUGAGAGGAUGGUCCGCCACACUGGGACUGAGACACGGCCCAGACUCCUACGGGAGGCAGCAGUGGGGAAUAUUGGACAAUGGGGGGAACCCGGAUCCAGCCAUGCCGCGUGUGUGAAGAAGGCCUUAUGGUUGUAAAGCACUUUAAGCGAGGAGGAGGCUACUCUAGUUAAUACCUAGGGAUAGUGGACGUUACUCGCAGAAUAAGCACCGGCUAACUCUGUGCCAGCAGCCGCCGUAA
rnacentral:rRNA from 1 species